AACGAACGCUGGCGGCAUGCCUAACACAUGCAAGUCGAACGCGACCUUCGGGUACAGUGGCGCACGGGUUCGUAACGCGUGGGAACCUGCCCUUAGGUUCGGAAUAACUUCCCGCAAGGGGCGCCAAUACCGGAUAAUGUCUUAGGCCCCAUGAUUUAUCGCCUUAGGAUGGGUCCGCGUUGGAUUAGCUAGUUGGUAGGAUAAAAGCCUACCCAGGUGAUAAUCCAUAGCUGGUCUGAGAAGAUGAUCAGACACACUGGGACUGGGACACGUCGCAGACUCCUACGGGUGGCAGCAGUGGGGAAUAAGGAACGAUGGGCGAGAGACUAAUCCAGCAAGACCGCAUGAGUGUGGAAGGACAUAGGAUUGUUGAGCUCUUUUGCCCGGGAAGAAAAUGACGGUACCGAGAGAGUAAGCUCCGGCUAACUCCGUG
rnacentral:rRNA from 1 species